CGUGGAAGCUGAAACUGCACCUCCCACGUGGCCCCUCUAGCCAGCUGAGAACCUCAGAUAAGAACUACACCCAGGCCAGCACCAGCAGCUCAGCCACUAGCAGCAGCCCCACCCUCUGCAGCUGGCUCUCCUGCUGCUGCACUCCGCGGCAGCCAGGUCUGAUGGCCCGGGCGGCAAUCACUGCAGCUGGCAUGGCUGUGGACUCUGCUGUGGGGCACAUACUGGGUCAUGCCAUCAGUGGGAGCUUCAGUGGAGUAAAUAAUGCUGAGCCCCCAAGUGGUGACAUCACUUACCAGAAGCCUCAGGGAACCCACCCGGCACAGCAGCAGUAGGCUUUCUUGUAUGAGAUAAAAUGGUUUUUGGAAUGUGCCCAGAAUCAGGGAGACAUAAAGUUCUGUGAGGGUUUCCAUGAGGUGGUGAAACAGUGCAGACUUGCAAAUGGA
rnacentral:lncRNA from 1 species